UGCUAUGAAAACACAAGUCAGAUUCUGGUCACUUCUCCGCUCAAAACCCCAUAGUGGCUCUCCAUUUCACUGGGUUAAGCUGAAGUCCUUGUAAGGAUCCCGGACAUACCUUUUACCCCUCUGCCUGUCUCUUCUCCCUGGGGCUCACUCAGUUCUAGCCACUCUGGUCUUUGUUGUUUCAGGAAUACACCAGACACUCUCCUUCCUCCAGGCCUUUUGGCUGACUGUUUCCUCUGCCUUAAACACCUCCCUCAGAUAGCCACGAUUCCCUCCCUAACCUCCUUUCAUUCAUUCAACACAUUAUUAUUGAGCCUAUCAUGAGCUAAGCCCUGUUCUAGUUGCUGGAGGCACAACUUCAAACAAAGCAGAUACAAGUCUUUGCUCUCAAGGAGCUGACAUCUUUAGGUCUUCACUCAAAUAUCACCUUCUCAGUGAAGUCUCUAACCACAAUAUCUAAAAUUGCACCGUCUGUCUGAUAUGCUAGCAAGCCUGUAACCCUACCUACUCCAGAAGCUGAGGCAAGAGGAUAGCCAGAGGCCAGGAGUCUGAGGCUGUAGUGCACUAUAAAUAGCACCUGUAAAUAGCCACAACACUCCAGCAGUCAACAUAGUGAGACCCUAUCUCAUAAAAAAAAAAAAAAAAGAAAAAUUAAUUUA